rnacentral:sRNA from 1 species
AUGGACCACCUUGACACUCCGAUUCCUGUGCGCCGUCCAUAGCCGCCUGACGUCUGUUCGCUACGUUUUGUUGGCU